AAAGGAAUAGACGGGAGCCCGCACAAGCAGUGGAGUAUGUGGAUUAAUUCGAUGCAACGCGAAGAACCUUACCAGGGCUUGACAUCCCGCGGAUCCGUGAUAACGAUCGGAGUGCCCUUCGGGGAACGCGGAGACAGGUGGUGCAUGGUUGUCGUCAGCUCGUGUCGUGAGAUGUUGGGUUAAGUCCCGCAACGAGCGCAACCCUUACGAUUAGUUGCUACGGGAAGAGCACUCUAAUUGGACUGCCGUUGGCAAAACGGAGGAAGGUGGGGAUGACGUCAAAUCAUCAUGCCCCUUACGUUCUGGGCUUCACACGUACUACAAUGGCGCAAACAGAGGGAAGCGAAGCCGCGAGGCGGAGCGAAUCCCAAAAAAGGCGUCCCAGUUCGGACUGCAGGCUGCAACUCGCCUGCACGAAGUCGGAAUUGCUAGUAAUCGCGGAUCAGCAUGCCGCGGUGAAUACGUUCCCGGGCUUUGUACACACCGCCCGU
rnacentral:rRNA from 1 species